GCCUUCGUGGUGUAGUGGUCAGCACGCUCGACGCAUAACCGAGAGGUCCGUGGUUCGAUUCCCGGCGAAGGCG
rfam:Stegodyphus mimosarum contig110419, whole genome shotgun sequence.